UACAGAGGUCUCAAGCGUUGUUCGGAUUCAUUGGGCGUAAAGGGUGCGUAGGUGGCGCCGUAAGUCAGGUGUGAAAUUUCGGAGCUUAACUCCGAAACUGCAUUUGAUACUGCGGUGCUUGAGGACUGGAGAGGAGACUGGAAUUCACGGUGUAGCAGUGAAAUGCGUAGAUAUCGUGAGGAACACCAGUGGCGAAGGCGAGUCUCUGGACGACUCCUGACACUGAGGCACGAAAGCCAGGGGAGCAAACAGG
rnacentral:rRNA from 1 species